AGCAGAAUUUUUUUUUACUCUGGCGUAAAAGUUUACUUAAAUUUUUAUGAAGUAAAAUUUUACUCUGCUUUAUUAUGUUUUAGCUAUAAUUUUCUCUUUCCUAUGUUUUGCUGAUUAGAUGAAUAAAAACUGAAACAAGCUGAACUGAGUAAAAUUUUAAUUUUCUGCUCACUUUUUUGCUCUAGCGUGUAUAAAUCCAAUGAGAACCAAAGAGUAGAAAGAAAAAAAAAAUACUUUACCCUUCAUUUGUCUGUAGUAAAAGUUUUAACCCUCAAAUCCUCCAACAAUG